ACGAGCAGCGUUUCCAUGCCUUCCCACAGCUGGGGUGCCGCGGUUAUCGCUCUAGAAGGCGACUGCCACGGAGGCGGCAGGGGCAGAAGGAGCUGGCAGGAAGGAGAAAGGGGUCCUCCGGGGCUUUCCAUCCCGUCCUCGACCUUUAAGGUUGAGGGUAGAGUUUCAUUCCUCUGCUGGUGGGGAGAAAUUCCUCUUCGUUCCACUUUAAAGAUGAGCCCCGAGCUCCCGUCCGUGCCGUCCCCUCUGUCCGCGGGGUCGGCGGGGGCCAGCCCUGCAACUGCCAUUUUUUAAAAGGCACUGACUGUGCCUUAGAGACGCUCCUAAGUGCUAGAGAGUGCCCUCUUUCUGGGCACAACGUUGUCCGUCGCUACACUCACCUGGCAACCGCGGGAGGCCCCACCUGCCGGGGUGCCCCACCUGCCGUCCCCCUGUCCCCGGGCGUCCUGGAGCCGGGAGCCCCGGCGUGCGUCCUGCGGCCAGAAGGGCAGAUGGGUUUGGUCCCAUCUCAGCGGACGCGCGCGGUGAGGGCCCCGGGUGCGGCGGCGGCUGCCCAGGGCGGCCAGUGGCCGAGGCACAGGAGUUGGGCCGGGUCUCUGCUCCUCUGGGAGCCGCAGCUGCCGGAGGAGAACUUCCUUCAGGGGAGGGGCGGUUCUCAGGACAGCCUGUGCCCCGGGGCUACCCUCCCUGAGGGGCGCACAGCCCGAGCCCCGGCUCUCUCUUUAUUCCCCCGCGGACCGCGUCCGCAGCAGCCAGGCUGCUCAGGUCGUGCGGAGGGGACCCAGCUCCUCCCGAGCUUCGCAAGGCCUUGGCCGCCGCGCUGACCUGCCGCCCGGCCCUUGCUUGGGGCGCUGCAGCAGCCCGGCCUCGGUUCACCGGCCCAGCUCCUCCCCCGCAGGUUUUCAAGGGAAGGGCUGCCUCCGGGGUGUGCUCAGUUCAGAGGCCCCUUGUCACUCCUAAUCGAGCUGAGCCUCCAGGGUGAUUGUUCUUAAACUAUACCGGCCUUGGGCGACAGGCAGAAGCAAUUACAGCAUCAAGCACCUCAAGGACCCAGAGUCCCCGUCUUACGCUCCUUUCUGGCUUCAUGGCCCAGGCUGACCCUAAGUUCCACAUCUUUUGAUUCGAGCCGAUCCGUCGCCUUUCUCCUACGCUGGAUCCUUUCCUGGGUUGCUCACAUUCACCUCCGUGUAUCUCCCUGACUCCAGUUCUCAGGGCCCUGCAUCCGAGGAGCGGCCUUCGCUCCGUUCAAUGUCAGGCCCACUAGAAGUGUGCUGCGGUGGGGAAGACGCUGAAGACCAAACUGCCGGUGGUUCCUUUUGCUGAAUACGGAAGAAAAGAUCUGCUACACAUUUGUUGCCUCAUUUAAUCUUCACGAUAAUCCUAUGAGGAUCCAAGGCAGUACGUUGCCCGAUGGCCAAACCGCAGAACCCGUCCAAACCAGAAGGUCCAAGACGGCGAUGGGGCACCCUGUGCAAGAAGGGAAGCUCGCGCAUGCCCCACGUGCCCCAGCCCGGAGCCACGACCCGGUGACCCCUCCCCGCUUCCCCAUCCCAUAAGAACCCUGCUCACCUGCCCUUGGGGAGAAGGCAUUGAGAGCUCGAGCUCUGCCUCCUCCGUUCAUCGGUCAGUGAAUAAAUUUCUGCUCUGCUAGUCCAAACCCAGUCUCCUUCUAUUGGCGCGGGCGGCUCAGGGUGACAGGACCCCCUUGCGGGUCACGGGUUCCUUGGGGCUCAGAAACAGAUACAGUGCAGUGAAUGCUGAAAUCGAGAAUGAGUUGCAUAUGGACCCACUGACAUGUUAUUUCUGUUUGGUUUUGUUCUCCAUAUCUGCUAAGGUUC